CUUAGCAUAUCAAUAAGCGGAGGAAAAGAAACUAACAAGGAUUCCCCUAGUAACUGCGAGUGAAGCGGGAAAAGCUCAAAUUUAAAAUCUGGUGGUCUUUGGCCAUCCGAGUUGUAAUUUAGAGAAGCGUCUUCCGCGCUGGACCAUGCACAAGUCUCCUGGAAUGGAGCGUCAUAGAGGGUGAGAAUCCCGUCUUUGGCAUGGACCCCCAGGGCUUCUGUGAUGCGCUCUCAAAGAGUCGAGUUGUUUGGGAAUGCAGCUCAAAAUGGGUGGUGAACUCCAUCUAAAGCUAAAUAUUGGCGAGAGACCGAUAGCGAACAAGUACCGUGAGGGAAAGAUGAAAAGCACUUUGGAAAGAGAGUGAAACAGUACGUGAAAUUGUUGAAAGGGAAACGCUUGAAGUCAGUCGCGUCGGCUGAGACUCAACCUUGCCUCGGCUUGGUGUACUUCUYAGCUGACGGGUCAGCAUCAAUUUUGAUCCUUGGAUAAUGGCAAGGGAAAGGUAGCACCUUUACAGGUGUGUUAUAGUCCUCUGUCGAAUGCAAGGGUUGGGAUUGAGGAACUCAGCACGCGCCUUGUCGGUGUCGGGGCCUUUUGGCCUACGUACGUGCUUAGGAUGCUGGCAUAAUGGCUUUAAACGACCCGUCUUGAAACACGGACCAAGGAGUCUAACAUGCACGCGAGUGUUCGGGUGGAAAACCCGUGCGCGUAAUGAAAGUAAAAGUUGGGACCUCUGUCGUGGAGGGCACCGACGCCCGGACCAGACCUUCUGUGACGGCUCUGCGGUAGAGCGUGUAUGUUGGGACCCGAAAGAUGGUGAACUAUGCCUGAAUAGGGUGAAGCCAGAGGAAACUCUGGUGGAGGCUCGUAGCGAUUCUGACGUGCAAAUCGAUCGUCAAAUUUGGGUAUAGGGGCGAAAGACUAAUCGAACCAUCUAGUAGCUGGUUCCUGCCG
rnacentral:rRNA from 1 species